rnacentral:rRNA from 1 species
AGCGAACGCUGGCGGCAGGCCUAACACAUGCAAGUCGAACGAACUCUUCGGAGUUAGUGGCGGACGGGUGAGUAACACGUGGGAACGUGCCUUUUGGUUCGGAAUAACUCAGGGAAACUUGUGCUAAUACCGAAUGUGCCCUUCGGGGGAAAGAUUUAUCGCCAUUAGAGCGGCCCGCGUCUGAUUAGCUAGUUGGUGAGGUAACGGCUCACCAAGGCGACGAUCAGUAGCUGGUCUGAGAGGAUGACCAGCCACACUGGACUGAGACACGGCCCAGACUCCUACGGGAGGCAGCAGUGGGGAAUCUUGCGCAAUGGGCGAAAGCCUGACGCAGCCAUGCCGCGUGAAUGAUGAAGGUCUUAGGAUUGUAAAAUUCUUUCACCGGGGACGAUAAUGACGGUACCCGGAGAAGAAGCCCCGGCUAACUUCGUG